ensembl:lncRNA
ACAGAGGUGGUGGUCCAUUUACGGCUGGGCGAGUGUGUGCUUCUGUGUACGUACAUGUACGUGUGAAAGAAAGAGAUCUAAGGGAUGCUCAGACUCUGAAGAUGGUGACUUGAUGACUCCGCAAAAUUAUCACAAACCAUUCCUGACAACUAAGGGAGACCAGGGCUGGACGUCACACAUUUUCUACUCCAAAUAAAUUCCUCAAGGUGGGUUUAUUUUCAGAGGUAAAUUUCAUUGCCCUGCAAACUGAUAAAAUGGAGUAACUAAGCCAACAAUAAAGCUGAAUUAUUAUUUUUUUUUUAGGUUUUUGAUGGAUUGACAUCAAAUUUUACAUGGAUCAAGUAUUCGAGACAGGAGUGU